UGAUUUUAUUUAUAGAAUUAAUCUAUAAUUCUACCCUUACAAAGCCCAAAUCAUUUUUAGGUACACCUUGCUUGUACUGGGUUUGAACCCAUUUUGCCUUCAGAAUUGCCUUGAUUCUUUGUGGCAUAGAUUAAACAAGGUGCUGGAAACAUUCCUCAAAGAUUUUGGUCCAUAUUGACAUGAUAGCAUCGUACAGUUGCUGCAGAUUUGUCAGUGAUUUGAGAUUGGUGAUUGUGGAGGAUAUUUGAGUAUAGUGAACUCAUUGUUUUCAUGUAGUUAACGCCAAAUUCUGAUCAUCUAAAAUGUUGCAGCAGUAAUCGAGACUCAUCAGACCAGGCAACGUUUUUCCAAUUGUGGCCUCAGUUUCCUGUUUUUAUCUGACAGGAGUGGAACACCGUGUGGUCUCCCAUCUGCUUCAAGGUUUGACGUGUUGUGUGUUCAGAGAUUCUUUUCUGCAGACCCCAGUUGUAACAAAUCAUUAUUUGUGUUAUUGUUGACUUUCUAUCAGCUCAACUGGCCGUUCUCCUCUGACCUCUGGCAUCAACGAGGCAUUUUCGCCCACAGAACUGCUAGAUAUUCUUUUUCGGACUAUUAUCUGUAAACCCUAGUGUGACGAGCAGGGCGGGCGAGAGCCGUGAGGGAACGGCGCGAGGCCGGUGACGCGAGGGUUAACGAGCUCCACCUGUGAGGCGCACCGGCCUCGAGUCUCUCACGGAGGAGCUCCGGAAGCAUAAAAGGAGGAGCGACGAUAGUGAAGGACGAGAGAGGACCAGGCCUGGACUUUAUUUUGUUUUAUUAUGUUUGUGUGGCCGGCAGACGUCCGCGAGGGUCUGCCGGCAUUACUUUCGUUUUGUUCUUUGUUUAUUUUAUUAAAGUUUAUUGUUUGAAUGUUCGCCGGUUCCCGCCUCCUUCUUCCCCCAUCACUCGAACUGUGUUACAUUGGUGCCGAAACCCGGGAGGAAGGAGGGACAUGCUGUCGGAGAGCCCUCGCUGCUGAGGGGGAUCGCGGUGCUGCGGAGUUCGGGCAGCGCGGGAGUGAAGACCGCGAGAGGCUGCCCGAGGCGGUGGUACUGGAGCCUUGUGAAAGGUGGGACGGAGACCCGGAUGCCGUGCUCCUGGGACGAGGUGGGGUGGCUGCCGUCCUGGAGGGAGCGGAGGAAUGCCGUCGUUUGCCGUGGGCCGGAGCCUGCUACCAUCCGCCAUGAAGGGGAGGAGCAGGGAACGGCGGAUUCGCUGCCGGCUGCCCUCAGCCGGAGGAGCCAUCGCCGGCCGCCAGGAGGCGGUCGAGGAUCGGGCCGUCCACCGAGCGUCCAGUGCCAUCGCAUGGCACCGCGAGGAAGAGCCUCUCGGCGGGCUGAGGACCGAGCGGCAGUGUGUCAGGGAACCGGAUCAAGAUUUUUUUUUUUUUUUUUCCUCUCUUCCCUCUCUCGUUCUGUCGCUCCCCUUGCUUCCGUCUCCUUUCUCUCGUCUCGUCUGUCCUUACCCCCAGGUGCUGCGGCCGCCGAGACAGGCCCCGGGGGGGAGUAGAGCGCAGUCUCGGGAGUACCCCCCGGCCUGCGAGGGGCGAUGGGGGUAUGUGACGAGCAGGGCGGGCGAGAGCCGUGAGGGAACGGCGCGAGGCCGGUGACGCGAGGGUUAACGAGCUCCACCUGUGAGGCGCACCGGCCUCGAGUCUCUCACGGAGGAGCUCCGGAAGCAUAAAAGGAGGAGCGACGAUAGUGAAGGACGAGAGAGGACCAGGCCUGGACUUUAUUUUGUUUUAUUAUGUUUGUGUGGCCGGCAGACGUCCGCGAGGGUCUGCCGGCAUUACUUUCGUUUUGUUCUUUGUUUAUUUUAUUAAAGUUUAUUGUUUGAAUGUUCGCCGGUUCCCGCCUCCUUCUUCCCCCAUCAUACGAACUGUGUUACACCUAGAGAUGGUUGUGCGUGCAAAUCCCAGUAGAUCAGCAGUUUCUGAAUUACUCAGACCAGCCCAUCUGGUACCAACAACCAUGCCACAUUCAAAGUCACUUAAGUCACCUUUCUUCCCCAUUCUGAUGCACAGUUUGAACUUCAGCAUAUCGUCUCGACUAUGUCCAUUUGCUGCCAUGUGAUUGCCUGAUUAGAUGUUUGUGUUAAUGAUCAGUUAGACAGUGUACCUAACAAAAUAACCGGUCCUGUAUUGGUAUCAAUGGACAGCUGGAAUUCGGCCAGAGACCUGAAGACGCCAUGUCAUGACCCAACAGGACAUCCAGUACCUAAAUCCAGGGUCCCCUCGUCAGCAUCCUGACGAAUGGAGAUAUGCUUCUGACUAUCUGUCCAUGUGUGGAAGAUUCCUAAUCUUGUCUAUUUUUCUUAGCCAAUCAGAAUCGUUUAACCUAAGUAAUGACGUAGUUAGUGGUCUCUGUUAGAGUAUAAUUGUUGUGGAAAUGUGAAUGUACGCAGAGUGGCCUAUGAACUCCUUGUGAGACCUGAAGCUGGCUUCUGCUGAUGAAACUGCAAACUAUUCUUUAUUAAAAUUUUCUUCAAUUUAUUUUUUUAAA